CGUGUAGGCGGCUGGAUAAGUCAGAUGUGAAAAGCCCUGGGCUUAACCCAGGAAGUGCAUUUGAAACUGUUCAGCUUGAGUAAGGGAGAGGAAAGUGGGAUUCCUGGUGUAGCGGUGAAAUGCGUAGAUAUCAGGAGGAACACCGGUGGCGAAGGCGUCCAUCUGGCCCAAUACUGACGCUGAGGCGCGAAAGCUAGGGGAGCAAACG
rnacentral:rRNA from 1 species